ACCUGCGGAGGGAUCAUUACACAAUACAAUAUGAAGGCCCGUAACACGGCUGGAUUAUUUUAUUACCCUUGUCUUUUGCGCACUUGUUGUUUCCUGGGCGGGUUUCGCCCGCCACCAGGACCACACCAUAAACCUUUUUUAUGCAGUUGCAAUCAGCGUCAGUACAACAAAUGUAAAUCAUUUACAACUUUCAACAACGGAUCUCUUGGUUCUGGCAUCGAUGAAGAACGCAGCGAAAUGCGAUACGUAGUGUGAAUUGCAGAAUUCAGUGAAUCAUCGAAUCUUUGAACGCACAUUGCGCCCUUUGGUAUUCCAAAGGGCAUGCCUGUUCGAGCGUCAUUUGUACCCUCAAGCUUUGCUUGGUGUUGGGCGUUUUUUUGUCUUUGGUUAUGCCAAAGACUCGCCUUAAAACGAUUGGCAGCCGGCCUCCUGGUUUCGCAGCGCAGCACAUUUUUGCGCUUGCAAUCAGCAAUAGAGGGCGGCACUCCAUCAAGACACUUUUUUUCACGUUUGACCUCGGAUCAGGUAGGGAUACCCGCUGAACUUAAGCAUAUCAAAA
rnacentral:rRNA from 1 species